CAGUCGCCGCGGUAAUACAGAGGGUGCAAGCGUUAUCCGGAAUUAUUGGGUUUAAAGGGUGCGUAGGCGGAUAGAUAAGUCAGUGGUGAAAGACGGUGGCUCAACCAUCGCAGUGCCGUUGAUACUGUUUAUCUUGAAUAUGGAUGAGGUAGGCGGAAUGUGGCGAGUAGCGGUGAAAUGCAUAGAUAUGCCACAGAACACCGAUUGCGAAGGCAGCUUACCAAGGCAAAAUUGACGCUGAGGCACGAAAGCGUGGGGAUCGAACAGGAUUAGAUACCCCUGUAGUCCCUGUCUCUUAUAC
rnacentral:rRNA from 1 species